AAUGUAUCUAGUCAAUAAUAUGGGACAGAUACAUCCAAUAUUCUAUGAAUCUAAAAAGUAAACUUUUUCUUAUGAUAAAGAUCGGAUGGAAUAUUUAUCAAGAGAGAAACACUUUCUUCUAAAUUUUGUAUAGUAUAAAAUGACAAAAACACCUACAAAUGUGAGAAAUUAAAAGGUCUGAAAUACACUAAUUAUGAUUUUAGAUCCGUAUACGUUAACUCCAACUUCCAAGGUUAUUGCAUUGAACAUGUAAUGGAUUGGAUUGAAGCUGUUGAUAAUCAAAAUCAAAUGCACACUGUGCAACAAGAGAAAGAAAAAAAAUCAAAUAAUACUAGUGCACUAAGGGUGUGUUUGGUUGUGAAAAGAAAAUAAGUGGAGAGAAAUAUGUUCGAGGGAGUAUAAGAAGAGAGAAAUAUGUAAGAAAUAGAGAUGAUUUGAUGUAUUGAUUGGUAGAAGAGAGAAAAGUUGAUUAUAUUUAAAAGUACCAAAAUACCCCUAAUAAGAGAACUUCAAUCAAAAUUAAUUUAAUUUUCAAGUAAUUUAUUAGGUAGUAAUUUUUUAACAUUUUAUAUUUAAAUUAACAAAAUUAUUAUUAAUCUAAAGUUAAUUUACGUUUAUUAAAAAUCUUAAACAACAUACUUUUUAAGACAAAGAGAGUAUAAUAUACUCUUUCAUUUUUUUAAUAUAAGAUAAAUUGUACUUUUUAGAUUGACUUAAAUAUGUAACUAGUCUCUACAGUUUCAUUGUCUUUUGAUAUUAGUUCCUACACUUUUUUUGGUUGGGUCUAAGUCUUGUAGUUUCUAAACAGUUUGUUUUUAGUCCUUGGUGUUACUCAAACGUUACAAAAAUGGUUGAAAUUAACGGAGUGUCACGUGGACCAACCAAUAUAAGCCACGUGGCAUGGUCGAAGUCUCAUUUUUAUUUUUACUUUUUUGCCAAUUUGAUUUCAUAUUAAUGUUUUAUUAAUAAAAAUAAAUAACCAUGAAAAAGAAACAUUUUUUUGACAAAAAAUGAAAAAGAAAGAUAAAUUGCAUAAAAGAGGGGCUUCCAUCUUCUUCGUGAAACCAUAACUUACCAAACACAAUCAACUCAAGAAGCACCAAAUUUUGCCACUGCAUAUAUCAAUUAUAAAUCUCACUCUUUAGUGUGCAAUAACAAGUUGUAUGAGCACAAAACAUGGAUAACUCUUUUUCUUCUUUUUUUGAAGAAACUAAAUUAGCCCACCCAAAUUGGCAUCAGAGAGAAUCGAACCUCAGAAGUCAGACCUCAAGAGGAGCGCACUCUCAGGUCCCAAGUGGGUUCAUGGAUAACGCUUGUUGACUGAAUGAGGAGAAUAAAACCAAAAGGGCAAUUAAGGUAACAACAAUGAAGAACAAUGGAGUCACAACAACGUAACUCUUUCUUUUAUAUUGAAGCAUUUGAAGCUAACAAUGAAGGUGGGGCUGUUGUGGGGAUUGAUGGAGAUUGGAGAAGAUGAAAUUGGGUGGUGUUGUGGAAUAAGAAGAUAAAUAAGAACACAAAUUGAUGUUUUGCUAAGGAAUAGAUGUGGUUUCACGAAGAAGAAGAUCAUGCCCUCUCUUUAUGCAAUUUCUGUUUCCUUUUCAUAUUAACGACUCAAAAUAAGAUAUAUUAAUAAAAAACAAUCUCUUCAGUACAAGAUCUACUGAAAUGGACUACAAAGAGUCAAAGAAAGAUAAUCAUAAAUAAAUAACACAAGACCCAAACAAAAUAAGAGAUUAGACCACCAACUAUAAUAGUUGAGAACUAAAAUAACUCUCAUCGUCUUCAAUCACCUAUAAAAAAAAUUUAUAUAUUUAAUAUAUUAAAUACUUUAGAUUUUCAAUAAAUCUAAAAAAAAAUAAAAUUUAACUUAUAUUAUUGGAGGGAAUAUUUCAGAAUUCUUACAAGAUCGUCGUCACCACUUACCUGACACCAUUGUCUAACCAUAAUUCGAUUGUACCUUUUUGUGAAGCUGAAAUUUUAUGGUCUAAACUGAUUUGUCCACCUUCUAAGAAAAUGACAACACAACCGCACUUAUUUCUGACAUGACCUACAACAGUGAUCCGUGCUAGUGUAUCAUGCAUUGCUGGGUAUGAGCUCAAAUAUUUCUUGUUUAAGGGACAUACGAAGUUUCAUAUAUAGGCCACAAAUCUGGCCAUUAAACUACAUGUUUUCUAUUUAUACAUCUCUUAUAUUUAGAGUCGGAUGAAGUAUAUAAAAUAAAAAUUAGUGACAAAAACACGAAAGAGUAUGGAUUUGAUAUAAAUAUUUAGAGUCGGAUGAAGUAUAUAAAAUAAAAAUUAGUGACAAAAACACGAAAGAGUAUGGAUUUGAGAUUUUAUAUCAUGAUAUUUAAUUUUAUGUAUAGAUCUAUGACUUUGUUGAAAUAAACAAUUUAUUUUGCAACUUAAGCACAAACUCUUGUAAUAUAAGC
rnacentral:lncRNA from 1 species